AUCGGAUACCCUUUGCUACAGUUUUCGCGCACUACACGAGGUGACUUGGCAGCACAAAGCAUUGGGAAAUGCAUGACAACUAUGAACAGGACCAAGACACGUUGAGCUUUGCAGAGGAGAAAUGUGAUCUUCAAAUUGCAGAAUCGAGGGGAGUCUCAGGCAUUCCAAAGUGAGGAAGUGGAUUCAGAUGUAGUAUCUGUGAGAAAGUACUGAAAUGUAAAGGUGGAUAUACUGUUCAUCAGCAGAUGACUUGAAGUCAAAAGAAAUCGAGACCAUUCAGUCAUUUCUACAGAUUUCCUAGCACGAAUGCUCUUAUGUUCAGCUGAGAAAAAAAAUGAUGAACAAGCAGAAAAUACAGCAGCAAAGGACAAGGAAGAGAUGGCACACAUUUUAAGAAUGAAAUUAACUUAAUAAAUAUUCAGAUCAUUUCUACGGGAUGUUACAUUUGGGAAUUCACUUUCCCAGUAUAGUACAGAUACUAGUACUUUGCUGGUAGAGGGUGGAGUGAAUCCCUUGUGUGAUUUGAACCCACCCUCUAAAGGUGAAACACCUUAUCACAGAACAACAUUGUUUGCAAUUUAACCUGACAAAUGUUAGUCAAGGUCUUGAUCAGAGAAGUGUCAAUGCCACAAUUACAUCAUUUUUGCAAAGUUAUGCAAAUAAGAAUGUCAAAACUAUUUGGUUUAAUAAAUAGUAAUUAUUAAACUUA